GCUUGAGGUAGAGAUAACGCGGGCAUGGCGGCGAGGACAUACCGUAUACCGUGCCGCCCUCCGCCGAAAUCUCUCUGUGACGUGUAAAACGACAUCACGUGGUACCGACUGCGCGAAGUGUUCGACGACGUCUCCAGUGAUUCAGGCCAUUCAGUCGCGGCUUUUCUCGUUUUGUUAGCGAAUAUGUUUGUAUUAGCUGCGAAUUAGCCUAAGUGUUUGCCAGCAAAGUUUUUGAGCGAGCCGUGUCCGAACGUGAAGAGGCACUCUGGUAAAAGUUCAACCAACUCUCGGAAACAACCGCUAGCAGCAGUGAAGUGAGACACGCCGGCAAACGAAAGGAAAAGUGACUCUGCUGGUCUCUGGCAUCAACCAAUUUGUGGACCAGCAGCUCAGCACAUCACGGCUGCUAACAGAAGGAGAGGCAGUGUAUGAGGCCGACCAGAUUCGAAUAUGUAACGCAAAAGAACAGCAUCAAGACAAAAUCACUCUCGCUGCCCUUGUGCUGCAAACAGCUGGAAUAAGCCUUCCAGCAUGGUGUGAAUAAACGUAAAUUCCUAUGUGUACAGUCCCGGAAAGUCCCACGUCGUGCUCACCGAACAUUUUAGCUCCAACGCAGUACACAAAAUCUUCGCAAAAGUGCUUGCUACACAUGCGAUAAUGAAUGGUGGGUUGCUUCCCCAUUCUCAGCUUUAUCAACCAUGCAUCUCGCUGCUUCUUGGUUUUGGGGUAUGCAUGGAAACUCAUGCCAGGCUUGUUCGAAUACAUUCGGCACUGCGGCACUGAGCAAUAAACCAC
rnacentral:lncRNA from 1 species